GUAAAAUUUGUGUCACCAAUCAUUUCCUUCUUCCUCAAAACCCCCAAAUUCCCCACCUCCAUAAAACCUAAAUUAACCCCCACCAAGUUCAGGAGAUCUCCACUGUAUCUCCACCGUGUCUCCACCAUGACAACCCGCCAAUUCCAACAUCCACAAAACCCUAACCAGAUUUAGUUAUCACUUACCAUCAACGCUCUCCUCUCAUUUACUCUCCUCCGCUACCCAAAUUAAGCGUAUGAUUUAGUUCGAUUUUCACUCAGAUCGAUUUUCACUUUCCUCCUCCUGCAGAUGCAGGCGAUGUAAUUCGGAAACAUCUUUAGUGGAGACUCAAAGAGAUCUAAAGUCAAAUGGAACUUCAAUGCAGCAACUGGUCUCUUCGUCCUCUUACACAAGACCAAGCUACUUACGCCGCCUUAGACGCUCAUUUUUGAUGUUUUUCAGCAAAGACUUCUCAAACAAGGUAACUUAAUGUGAAGCUAAUAGAAGCCAGCUGGAGAGCACUGAAGGCAUGAAAAAGUGGCUGUAAAAGUUAUCUAAAUAAAAAAGAGUUUUUGUUUACAAUAAACUAAGGUUUACCCCUAUAAAUAUAUUGUUAUGGAAACUUGGGUUUUAUCCCAUUUAUUUAUUAUAAAAAAGUUUGGUGUU
rnacentral:lncRNA from 1 species